AAGGCGGAAUAUUUAAGAGAUUAAUUGAUUGACGAUAAUCACAGAAGAAGCACCGGCUAACUCCGUGCCAGCAGCCGCGGUAAUACGGAGGGUGCGAGCGUUAAUCGGAAUGACUGGGCGUAAAGGGCACGCAGGUGGUGACUUAAGUGAGGUGUGAAAUCCCCGGGCUUAACCUGGGAACAGCAUUUCAGACUGGGUGACUAGAGUACUUUAGGGAGGGGUAGAAUUCCACGUGUAGCGGUGAAAUGCGUAGAGAUGUGGAGGAAUACCGAAGGCGAAGGCAGCCCCUUGGGAAGAUACUGACGCUCGAGUGCGAAAGCGUGGGGAGCAAACAGGAUUAGAUACCCUGGUAGUCCACGCUGUAAACGAUGUCGAUUUGGGGAUUGGGUGAACACUGGNUGCCCGA
rnacentral:rRNA from 1 species